UACGGAGGGUGCAAGCGUUAUCCGGAUUCACUGGGGUUAAAGGGUGCGUAGGUGGGCAAGUAAGUCAGUGGUGAAAUCUCCGGGCUUAACCCGGAAACUGCCAUUGAUACUAUUUGUCUUGAAUACUGUGGAGGUCAGCGGAAUAUGUCAUGUAGCGGUGAAAUGCUUAGAUAUGACAUAGAACACCAAUUGCGAAGGCAGCUUACUACACAGUUAUUGACACUGAGGCACGAAAGCGUGGGGAUCAAACAGG
rnacentral:rRNA from 1 species